UACAGGUCUGGCAAUUGGAAUGAGAACAAUUUAAAUCCCUUAUCGAGUAUCAAUUGGAGGGCAAGUCUGGUGCCAGCAGCCGCGGUAAUUCCAGCUCCAAUAGCGUAUAUUAAAGUUGUUGCAGUUAAAAAGCUCGUAGUUGGAUUUCUGGUGGGGGCGAUCGGUCCGGCGCUUAGCGCGAGUACUUGCAUCGUCUCCGGCCAUCCUUGGGGAGAGUUUGUCUGGCAUUAAGUUGUCGGGCAGAGGAUCCUCAUCGUUUACUGUGAAAAAAUUAGAGUGUUCAAAGCAGGCUUAUGCCGUUGAAUAUAUUAGCAUGGAAUAAUAAGAUAGGACUUUGGUACUAUUUUGUUGGUUUGCGCACCAAAGUAAUGAUUAAUAGGGACAGUUGGGGGUAUUCGUAUUCCGUUGUCAGAGGUGAAAUUCUUGGAUUUACGGAAGACGAACUACUGCGAAAGCAUUUACCAAGGAUGUUUUCAUUAAUCAAGAACGAAAGUUAGGGGAUCGAAGAUGAUCAGAUACCAUCGUAGUCUUAACCAUAAACUAUGCCGACUCGGGAUUGG
rnacentral:rRNA from 1 species